AUGCGCCGUUGUUGUGGCUGUCGACCUAAAGCGCAUGUGCGGUGCGAGCCCGCGGAAAUUUAAACCGAUUUCAGAGAGAAAAUUGGGAGAAAAUAAUAUAGAAAACUAUCUCUGCGGCCGGGCUAGAAACUGUAGUCGGGUCGGCGCUCGCUGCAGGAACAAGAGGAAACGGGUCCAGAAGAGCCAUAACCUGUGAAUGUGAAUCAUGCCACAGGAGGAAGAAGGCAAUGUGACUGUAGUUGUCCGGAUCAGACCUCAGAAUCAUCGAGAAUUGGAAACCGAAAGCCAUGCUGUUACACAAAUGGUGGAUGAAAAUGUCCUGGUCUUUGAUCCAAAGGAAGAAAUUAAUGACAUGUUUUCAGGAGCUAAGUUCAGAGAUAGGGGCAUAACAUGUCGGAAAAGGAAAGACCUGAAAUUCGUGUUUGACAGAGUUUUUAAUGAAAACUCUACCCAACAAGAAGUGUUUGAGUUCACAACUAAACAAAUUUUGGAAGGAGUUUUGAAUGGAUACAAUUGCUCGGUCUUUGCCUAUGGUGCAACAGGAU